rnacentral:rRNA from 1 species
UACGUAGGUGGCAAGCGUUGUCCGGAUUUAUUGGGUUUAAAGGGUGCGUAGGCGGCCUUGUAAGUCAGUGGUGAAAUACUCCAGCUUAACUGGAGGGGUGCCAAUGAUACUGCAGGGCUUGAGUACAGAUGAGGUAGGCGGAAUUGACGGUGUAGCGGUGAAAUGCAUAGAUAUCGUCAAGAACACCGAUAGCGAAGGCAGCUUACUGGGCUGUAACUGACGCUGAGGCACGAAAAGUGUGGGGAUCAAACAGG